GACGAACCGUGCGAACGUUGUUCGGAAUCACUGGGCUUAAAGGGCGCGUAGGCGGGCUCGCCAGUCAGGGGUGAAAUCCCGCGCUCAACCGUGGAAGUGCCUCUGAUACUGCGAGUCUCGAGGGAGGUAGGGGCGUGCGGAACUUCCGGUGGAGCGGUGAAAUGCGUAGAUAUCGGAAGGAACACCGGUGGCGAAAGCGGCGCGCUGGACCUCUUCUGACGCUGAGGCGCGAAAGCCAGGGGAGCAAAGCGGG
rnacentral:rRNA from 1 species